AAUAUUUUUUUUUCUUCUAAUUUUUGUUCUCCUCCGUUGCUAAAGCUGGUGGUGUGGUGUGGUAAUCUUCUAAACCCCGACGAGUAUAUGAUCUUGUUUUCAACCGAUCGUCGGCUAGGGUUUUUCUGAAGCGAAUCAUAUGAGACUAUGAUGAUCCGAUCAUCGCUCGUUGUGAAUUCUUCCCUAGGGUUUGGGUCGCUCUCAAUUCCAUCGGUAGGGUUUGGGUCCCUCUCAAUUCCAUCGGAGGAGGAUUCGCUACGGUCGAUCGGUGAUGGCUUUGAUCGGUCUGAUGAUGAUGCAGGUCCUCGUUUAAGGAUUGCUCUGUUAAAAUCUUAUGAUUCUGAUAUCGUGUGUUACAUCUUCUAGUCUCUUUAGGUGAUAUGCUUACUUCUGAGAGCUCCUCUGUUGCACUAGGCUGGACGUACAUGUGAGGUUUUGGAUGUGUGCUUUUAUUGAUCAGUUAUGGCUUUGAUGGACACGCUUCACUUCUUCUCUGUGCAACGUCUUCGUUGGUUUUUUGGAAGGGAAUUAUGAUCUGAUCAUCACGUAUUUUUCUCCAUAAUACAUCUUCAGGCCUUCGCACGGGUUCCUUGCUCGCUCUAACUUUAGGUUUGUGAAGGAUCCUACCAUUGAUCGGUUUUGAAGGAUGCUUUUAUCGAUGAGAGUCAUGGCUUUGAUGGACAUGCCUCUUCUCUGUUCUACGUCUUCAGGGUGAUUUGGAAGCGAAUUAUGAUCAUUGCAUAAUCUUCUCGAGGCUACGUUUCAAAGCUUUCUCACAGAUUUGUGGAGGAGAAUCCUACAAUUGGUUGGUGAUGGCUUUGACUGAUCGUUGUCACUCUAAUUCAUGUUAUUUUUCUAAGGUUUGGAUGAUGUUCUUAUUGAUGAGAGUGAUGACUUUGGUGGAAAUGCUUCUUGUCAGUGCUACGUCUUCAGAGGUGUUUUGGAAGCUAAGUAUGAUAUGAUCGGGUCAUUGCAUAUUAUUGUCCAAAUUUGUGGAGGAGGAUUCUUCGAUUGAUCGGUGCUGGCUUUGACUGAUCGUUAUCACCUGAAUUGAUGUUAUAUGGUCCAUCGGUGAUUGUGGAGGAGUAUAGUAUACUAAGAAAAUCUAUCGGUCAUAGGUUUGAUUGAUCCUUGUCACUCGUUUUCUCUGUUUGGAUUUUUUUUUUUUUCGUAAUUGAUAUCUUUCAUUCAGGUAUUUCCUCCUCUCUUUUCCCUUUGCUGUAUGCCAUCAAUCUAAUUGUUUUCAUUAACUGGAUUUUUAAUUUCGGCUUCCUCAGUUUUGGACUAUGCCAUCAGGGAGUUUUCAACAUCAUCGGUUGCUUUUUUUAUAUAAAAUAUGUUCGUGCGAUUCACCUCUUAUCUCUUGUUAUUUCAGGUUUUGGAUCAGUUAUGGCUUUGAUGGCUUCGACUGUUCGUUGUCACUCUAGUUCAUGUUAUUCUUCUAAGGUUUGGUUUCUAAACUGCAUCGGUUGCGUGUUUCUUAUGAAUAUGUUAUGUUAUUUCAGGUUUGGAUAAUGCUUUUGUUGAUGAGAGUGAUGGCUUUGAUGGAAACGCUUCUUCUCUGUGCUACGUCUUCAGGGUGUUUUGGAAGCAAUUAUGAUCGGAUCAUUGUAUAUUCCUCUCCAGGCUACGUUUUCAGGAUUUCUCACGAUUUGUGGAGGAGGAUCCUACGAUUGAUCGGUGAUGGAUUUGACUGAUAGUUGUCGCUCUAGUUCAUGUUAUUCUUCUAAGGUUUUGAAUGAUGCUUUUUAACGAUGAGAGUCAUGGCUUUGAUGGACACACCUCUUCUUGGCUCGCAGUCUUCAGGGAUGUUUUGGAAGCGAAUUAUGAUCAGACUCAAUCAUUGCAUAAUCUUCUCGAGGCAACAUUUCCGGCUUUCUCAGGGAUUUGUGAAGGAGGAUCCUACAAUUGGUCGGUGGUGAUUGCUUUGAUGGAAACGGUUCUUCUCUGUGCUAUGUCUUCAGAGGUGUUUUGGAAGCAAUUAUGAUCGGGUCAUUGCAUAUUCUUCUCCAAUUUUAUGAAUUUAUUUAUGUGGUUUACUUGUCAUUCUGUUAUUUCAGGUUUUUGGAUGAUUAUUUCAUAGUCUUGCAGUCAUUCUGUUAUUUCAGGUUUUUGGAUGAUGUUUUUAUCGAUGAGAGUGAUGUCUCAAGGAGACAUGGACACGCUUCGCUUCUUCUUUGUGCUAACGUAUUCAAAGGUUUUUUGGAAGGGAAUUCUGAUGUGAUCAUCACGUGUAUUUCUCCAUAAUACAUCUUCAGGCCUUCGCACGGUUUAGGUUCGUGAAGGGUCCUACGAUUGACGGUGAUGGCUUGACUGAUCGUUGUGACUCUAAUUCAUGUUAUAUGAUCCAUCGGUGACUGUGGAGGAGUAUACUAAGAAGAUCCAUCGGUCAUAGAUCGUGGAGGCAAUGGGAUUGCUCUGUUGAAUCUUUCUUCUCUGCCUUUUUCUUCUGGUUUCUUCUGAUUUCUCAAGAGAUUUUCUGCAUGAAUCACUCCUCUCUAUUUCUCUCUGUUUCUCUGCUGAUGUCUGUCUGCACAUAUAUUCAUAUGAAAGGUGGUCUUAAGUUCCUUUCAAAACGACUUUGUUCAUAUACUUUGUCCUUACAAUGAGGUUCUACAAGAGAAAAGCGUCAGGUAUAUUGAGCUUGGAAGAUGCCUUUGAUCUUGUGGUUCCAAGUUUACACUUUGACAUCCUCUGAUGUAAAAAAGCUCGACAUAUGGUUUAGUCAGGCAUAUUUUUCUACUUUAGGUUUUGGAUGAUGCUUUUAUCGCUUCGUCUCUGUGCAGCUAACGUCUUCAAGGGUGUUGUGGAAGCGAAUUAUGAUCAGAUCAUUGCGCAAUUUUCUCUAGGCUACGUCUACAUCUUCAAGCCUUCUCACGGGUUCCUUGCUCUAAACUUGGUUCAGAUUUGUGGAGGAGGUUGCUAUGAUUGAUCGGUGAUGGCUUUGACUGAUCGUUGUCAUUCUAAUUCAUGUUCUUCGUCUAGGGUUUUUGGAUGAUGCUUUUAUCUAUGAGAGUGAUGGCUCAAGGACACGCUUCGUUUCUUCUCUGUGCUAACGUCUUCAAGGGUGUUUUUGAAGCGAAUUAUGAUAUGAUCGAUCAGUACAUAUUCUUCUCUCACGGUUUCCUUUCUCUAAACACAUCUAUUUUGCUUCUAAUAACAUAUUACUUACUUGUCGAUCGGUUUUUGUUUUGUUGGUUCACAUUUGUGGAGGAGGAUCCUACCAUCGUCACUCUAAUUCAGGUUGUGGAGGAUCGGUCGGUGAUGCUUUUGAUGGAUCCUUUUUGUUUACUGUGCCCUACAACUUCAGAUCGUCGGGGCACCGAGAUUACUGUGUGGGAACAUCAGAAGAUAAACAUUGUCGGAGUGCGUAUAAUUUCUGAGUUCAACUUUCAGAUGUUUAAAUAUUAAUAUGAGAAAUGAUCACAAAUUCUUCGUUAGACGAGUUUGUUCUUUAACUGUGUCCUUUUUUAACUAGCAAAAGGCUGGACAUGUGAAAGAUAUUCAGGUUUUGGAUGAUGCUUCGUUCUUUGUGCUAACACGUUUUCAGGGGUUUUGUUCUUCCUCUUAACACUUCUUCUUUUACUCUCUGUUUUUUUGUUCCUUACUUCUUCGACUUGCAGGUGUUUUGGAAGCUAAGUAUGUUCGGAUCAUUGCAUCUCUAUUUACUUUCUGAAUUUUCACUAUCGAUAGGUUGCUUUUUUCUUCUAAUUACAUGUUACUUGUCGUUUUUUGUUUUGUUGGUUUAGGUGUGUUGAGGAUCCUAUGAUUGAUCCUUGUCACUCUAAGUUUGUGGAAGAUACUACGGUUGAUCGGUGAUGGCUUUGAUGGACACGCUUCUUCUCUUUGCUACGUCUUUAGGGUGUUUGGAAGCUAAUUAUAAUCGAAAUUAUAAUCGAAUCCUCACGUAUUCAUCUCCAUGCUAUGUCUUAAGGCCUUCUCAAUGCAUCUCUUUUUGAAUCUUAAAAUUCAAUUCAGUUCUGUGGUUUCUUCUUCUAGUUACAUGUUACUUACUUGUCCUCUGACUUUUGUUAUAGAAACUUGAGGUUACUAACUGGUGUCUUAGGUCUGCUAUGAAUAUUUUGUGUUCUUAGUGUAUCUAUUUAAUCUCUCUUUUAAAAAAAAAAAAUUUGAAGUCUCUUAGGUGGUACGCUUAAGUCUGACUUUAUGGUCUAUUCAUGUUAUUGUUCUCUUUCUCUUUGGGAUAUGUCAGCUAUCUCUUUGUUUUUGUAAACUAGAUUUUGAAUUUUGGCUUCCUGAUUUUUGGACUGUGCCACUGGGCAGUCUUUAACAUCAUUUGGACUUGUUUUUAUUAGUUGAUGAUCUUCUUAGUGAUAAUUACAUGUUAUUUUCAUGUCGUUUUUGUUUUGUUGGUUUAGGUUUGUGGUGGAGGAUCCUACGAUUGAUCGGUGAUGGCUUUGACUGAUCGUUGUCACUCUAAUUCAUGUUAUUCUUCUAAGGUUUUGAAUGAUGCUUUUAUCAGUGAGAGUCAUGGCUUUGAUGGACAUGUCUCUUCUCUGUGCUACGUGUUCAGGGUAUGCUAAGUCUGAGCUCCUCUGAUGCACAAGGCUGGACAUGUGGUUUAUUCAGGUUCUUUGUAGUUGAUGAUCUUCUUAGUGAAAGGGCAUUUAUGCCUAAGACCCUAUCAUUUGUUAUUGAUAGUCGAGGUUCUAUCAGAGUGAAUCAUCAGGUAACUAACUGGUCACUUUCCCUAUAUGGUUUUUCAUGUUACAUCUAUUUCUAGUGUUUGAUCCUACUUUCAUAUGCUUGUGAUUGUUGUUUUUCUUAUGUGAAUUUCUCCCUUCUUUGUUAUUUCUAUGUUACCUCCUUGGUGGUUUUUGUUAUGUGAAGUUCUCCCUUCUUGGUUAUUUCUAUGUUAUUUCUUAUGUGAAGUGCUCCCUUCUUUGUUAUUUCUGAUUUCAUGAUCUGCAUUUUUCUAUGGUUUAUAUGCUAAUCACUUUUGUUUGGGAUGGUGUUUUCUAUGUCUACGUGAAUUCAUUAUCUGCGUAUAGAAAUUUUGAUGAUGCAAAUAGAAGUUCUGUUUGUUUUCUUAAUUCCUAUGGUUGAUUAAGGUGUCAUGAGCUUCUUUUUCUGCUGUGUGGUUGUUAGUUGUUACACCUCUUUCUUUUUUUGAAUUACUUCUGAUUGUUAUAGUUUACUGGGUAGUCACGAGAAAUAAGCUUUGGGUUCCUCACUGGUUGCAUAAAGGAUUGAUCUCAAUUGGUAUGUUUCCUUUUUGUUAUUAUAUCUCCUCUGUAUGUCUUAUUGUAUGUUCCAGUAUUUCUUCAUUAAUCACUAUACUCUGAUCCUAUGCAGUCUAGCCGUAAUCAGAUGAAAGAUAAUCAUAACUUCCUUUUAAAUGGGUUUGUACUUAUUUUCUGUCCUUUUCAUGAUGGGUCUACCAAAGUAGUUUUUGCAUUGAACAACCUCAAGUAUGAGCUUCUCUAAGCAGAAAGCUAGACAUGUUGUUAUAACAAUAAGGUAAUUGUUCAUCUUUCUUUUUUGGAUCUUCUGCAAUAUGUUGAUUCAUACUUCCUGAAUUUUGAAGUGUGUUUAGCCUCAUGAGUUUUUAACUAUGAGUCUAUGACAGUGGGGAGUUUCACAUGAUUGGAACUUGUCAUUGGAUGUCUCCCGUCAACAGUAUAAUGUUCCUGAUCUACCUAGUGUUAUUCGCAUUUCUUCUUAUGCCUGAUUUUUUUGUUAAGUCUUUUAACAUAGAUAUUUCAGGUCACUACUUGGUCUCUUCCUUGUUUAUCCAUUUGUGAUGGUAGCUUUUCUAUUUAUGAAUUACUUCCCUUCAUUAUAGGUAUGUUGAGGAUGUGAAGGAGCCAGACUCCCUUUUUGAUUUUUUGGCAUUGAAGAUUGAGAUUUUGAUUGCAGUAUUUUUAUGCCUUUUUCUGUAUUGGUUUUACCACUAUAUGGUCUUGUGUUGGUGAGUUGUAUUGCUGCUCAGUAUUCUCUUCAGUUUGUUAAUUUGAUGUCAUCGUUUAUUUGAUUAUGUAAGCGAUUCUUGCUGGUAGUGUGACCUCAUGGGGGCAGGCUCAUAGAAGGUGAAGAGCGUCUGACUUAUGAGGUUUCUUGCUUCCUGGGUUGUGGUUGGUUUUAAUGGUUCUGUAGACAUUCUUGCUUGAUUUUUUGUUUGGGUGAUGCAUUAUGUUGUUGGAUUUCAGGGGAGGCUUAAUUUUAUAGAUAGACUUCUUACGAAUGUUCUCAGGUAGUCAGUGAAAAUUGAAAACAUCACCUUUACAUCUGGUGAAGAGGUUGAUUAAGCAAUUUGUUGGAUUGUUACCUCCAAACAUCACCUUCCUUGGACUUAUUCGCUUGCAGGUCAAAGCUUUCAGUCUGACACGUUAAGUAACCUCCAUUAUGGUUACUUUGAUUCUGAUUCUACCACAGAAGUGGCUUGAUCAUUUAUGAGACCUUCGGUGUGUGUUGCUUGUACUUGGCUCUACAAUUGCGCAAAUGAUGUUUUCUCAACUUCUUAUUGCUGGGAACAUAGAGGACCAGUUUCUGAAGUUCUCAUGGGAAGAAGCACCGUGACUGGACUGUAGUAGAGACUGAAAAUUAUUGGAGUUUGUAAAUAGUGUUUUUUUUUCAGUUAUGUGAAUUAGUAGGAAUGAGUAGUACACACAUGAGAAGUAUAUAUCCGUUGGUCAGCAUUAUGAAGAACUGUUUCAUUCUUACCUAGGCCAUUUAUGAAGAACCAUUUGAUUCUU